rnacentral:tRNA from 1 species
GAGGGUAUAGCUCAGUGGUAGAGCAUGUGCUUAUGCGUGAGGUCCUAGGUUUAAUCCCUAGUACCUCUC